ACAGGGGCCCCGAGCGUUAAUCGGAAUCACUGGGCUUAAAGGGCGCGUAGGCGGCUUGGCAAGUGACGGGUGAAAUCCCUCGGCUUAACCGAGGAACUGCCUGUCAGACUGCUUUGCUUGAGUCCGGGAGAGGUGAGUGGAAUUCCCAGUGUAGCGGUGAAAUGCGUAGAUAUUGGGAGGAACACCAGUGGCGAAGGCGGCUCACUGGACCGGAACUGACGCUGAGGCGCGAAAGCGUGGGGAGCAAACAGGA
rnacentral:rRNA from 1 species